rnacentral:rRNA from 1 species
UCAUAUCCUUGUCCCAAAGGUCCAUCCAUGCAUGUUUAAGUCUACGCCUAUUAUUCUGGGAAACUGCGAAUGGGUCCUCCAAUCACCUUCAGUUUAUUUGGUGUUUCUUUCUCCAUGGCCCUCUCUGGGAAUUGUAGCGUUAUAUCCCCGUGUCAAAAGGCCCCCAUUUUGGGCGGGGUUCAUUUCUUAGACAAAAACCAUCCUCCUCGGAGGUUGGUGGUUUCUCAAAACUUCUGGCAUUGCCCGGCCUUGUGCUGGCGAUGCUUCCUUCAAAUAUUUGCCCUUUCAACUUUUGAUGGUAGGACAGCGGCCCACCAUGGUUGCAACGGGUAACCGGGAAUUAGGGUUUGAUUCCGGAGAGGGAGCCUGGGAACCGGCUACCUCAUCCAAGGAAGGCCGCAGGCGGGGGACUUUCCCAAUCCCGCCAGCGGGGUGGGAGUGUCCAUAAACAACCAUGCCGGGCCCUUUUGGGUCUUGUUAUUUGAAAGGGCACAAUUUAAAUCCCUUAACGAGGGAGGAUUGGCGGCCAA